AUCAACUUUCGAUGGUAGGAUAGAGGCCUACCAUGGUGGUAACGGGUAACGGGGUGUUAGGGCACGACACCGGAGAGGGAGCCUGAGAAACGGCUACCACAUCCAAGGAUGGCAGCAGGCGCGCAAAUUACCCAAUCCCGACACGGGGAGGUAGUGACAAUAAAUAACAAUACGGGGUUCUUUCGGAUCUCGUAAUUGGAAUGAGUACAAUUUAAAUCUCUUAACGAGGAACAAUUGGAGGGCAAGUCUGGUGCCAGCAGCCGCGGUAAUUCCAGCUCCAAUAGCGUAUAUUAAAGUUGUUGCAGUUAAAAAGCUCGUAGUUGAAUUUCGGGGUUAGUAGGUUGGUCAUGCCUCUGGUAUGUACUGGUCUCACUGAUUCCUCCUUCCUGAUGAACCGUAAUGCCAUUAAUUUGGUGUUGCGGGGAAUUUGGACUGUUACUUUGAAAAAAUUAGAGUGUUUAAAGCAAGCUAACGCUUGAAUACAUUAGCAUGGAAUAAUGAAAUAGGACGUUCGAUCCUAUUUUGUUGGUUUCUAGGAUUGACGUAAUGAUUAAUAGGGAUAGUUGGGGGCAUUAGUAUUCAAUUGUCAGAGGUGAAAUUCUUGGAUUUAUUGAAGACUAACUACUGCGAAAGCAUUUGCCAAGGAUGUUUUCAUUAAUCAAGAACGAAAGUUAGGGGAUCGAAGACGAUCAGAUACCGUCGUAGUCUUAACCAUAAACUAUGCCGACUAGGGAUCGGAUGAUGUUAAUUUUUUAAUGACUCAUUCGGCGCCUUACGGGAAACCAAAGUGUUUGG
rnacentral:rRNA from 1 species